rnacentral:rRNA from 1 species
GACGAACGCUGGCGGCGUGCUUAACACAUGCAAGUCGAACGGAAAGGCCCUGCUUUUGUGGGGUGCUCGAGUGGCGAACGGGUGAGUAACACGUGAGUAACCUGCCCUUGACUUUGGGAUAACUUCAGGAAACUGGGGCUAAUACCGGAUAGGAGCUCCUGCUGCAUGGAGGGGGUUGGAAAGUUUCGGCGGGUGGGGAUGGACUCGCGGCUUAUCAGCUUGUUGGUGGGGGAGUGGCUUACCAAGGCAUUGACGGGUAGCCGGCCUGGGAGGGUGAACGGCCUCAUGGCUCCUGCGGGAGGCCCCAGACGCCUACGGUGGACAGCAGUGGGGAAUAUUACACAGUGAGAGCGAGCCGGAUGCAGCAGCGCCGCGUGCGGAAUGACGGCCUUCGGGUUGUAAACCGCUUUAGCCUAUGACGAAGCGGUAGUGACGGUAAUGAGUGAAGAAGCACCGGCUAACUACGUG